UACAGAGGUGGCAAGCGUUGUCCGGAUUUACUGGGCGUAAAGAGCGCGCAGGCAGUCGUUCAAGUCGCGUGUGAAAGCCCCCGGCUCAACUGGGGAGGGUCACGCGAUACUGAUCGACUCGAAGGCAGGAGAGGGUAGUGGAAUUCCCGGUGUAGUGGUGAAAUGCGUAGAUAUCGAGAGGAACACCGGUGGCGAAGGCGGCCUUCUGGACAGUGACUGACGCUGAGACGCGAAAGCGUGGGGAGCAAACAGG
rnacentral:rRNA from 1 species